rnacentral:rRNA from 1 species
AAAACGGGACGGCCGGCGCAGAAACCCUAAACUCUGUUUUUAGUGGAACUUCUGAGUAUAAAAAACAAAUAAAUCAAAACUUUCAACAACGGAUCUCUUGGUUCUGGCAUCGAUGAAGAACGCAGCAAAAUGCGAUAAGUAAUGUGAAUUGCAGAAUUCAGUGAAUCAUCGAAUCUUUGAACGCACAUUGCGCCCGCCAGUAUUCUGGCGGGCAUGCCUGUUCGAGCGUCAUUUCAACCCUCAAGCCCAGCUUUUUGUGGGUGAUCUGUGUGCAAACACAGUCCCCAAAUUGAUUGGCGGUCACGUCGAGCUUCCAUAGCGUAGUAAUUUACACAUCGUUACUGGUAAUCGUCGCGGCCACGCCGUUAAACCCCAACUUCUGAAUGUUGACCUCGGAUCAGGUAGGAAUACCCGCUGAACUUAAGCAUAUCAAUAAGCG